AAUUCAUGAUUCUUAGAGUAUAAUCUGACAUGACACUAAAGAAGUUAUUACUCUGCUGUCCAUGGGGAAAAAUCUAUCUCUAAAUCUAUCUUGAACUCAAUAUUGCUGCAUUCGGCUGAAAAAAAUCUGAAGACCCAAAAGGAAAUAGUCACAAUGAACAAGGAGAGAUGAUUCAUGCUGUCUCUUACUACUUUGUGUCUUGACACACAGUAGCUACUUUUUCACUUAAUCAAAAGAAAGCAACCAUAAAUCUUCAUGUUUUAAAUGGAUAUUUGAAGUCUCACUUUGAAUACAAUUUUCAGAACAUUCUGGCAGGUCCCAUUUAUACUGAAGAGUUAUGUUAAUGCCAGUGUCUAGAAUUAGCUGAGAAGACUUGCUACCUUUCUUAGCGUUGUCCCUUGACAGACAACAGUGUUGUCCCCCCUUUAGAGGGACACCUGACAAUUCCCAGUUCCAGCUGGCAAAAGUUAGAACUGUUCUAGCUAAGCUUGGCACAACAUUAGCCAGCAGCUUUUCUUAAAGUGAACUAUUAAAGCUUCCCAACUUCAAAUCACUGGGAUACGACUGUCAGAGGGAAGGAGCCCAGUUGUUUUGAUAUUCUAGACAAUGAACUUGAUAAGAGUUAAAAAGGAUCAUCUUUGAAUCUUACCAGAAUAAGGGGAAUCCCUCAAUCUCAAAUUCAUUUGGGAGUUCACUGCUCCCCAAUACUCUGUUGAGGUUCAAGGGAUUCCUGUCUGCCAGACUCCAAAAGUAGGCCUAUGAGAUGGCUGCUCAGGAGCAUUACCUAGGAGCCCACAGAGCAUGAAAGUACCUACCACAGCAGGAGACAGGAGUAGCAGAGAGAGGUUUAAACUCGCAUUCUUCCUGAGAUGGAAAGGUUUCCUUUUGCUCCCUUUGAUUUUUCAGGAUGCCACAGAGGAAACAUCUCCACAGCAAUACUUAUGAAGAAGGGAAAUUAUGGACUGCAGCACCCCAGCCUAGCUGACUUUCAAGACCACAAAAUGUUGGCAGCAUCCGACACAUCUUUCACCUUUAUAGAAGGGGUGACCUUAUCUGUAAGAAGGGUCACCCUACUGCCAGCUGUAUGACACCCUGAGACUGGCAGGAUGUGAUUCUGGAUCCAGUUUAUAUCUAUAUUUGCAAACUAACCAGGGCCAGAACAGAGGCUCAAGCAGAAGCGUACUGACACCCACAUAGCGCACCACCGCGUGCACCCUGGCAUGCUUUGGACUACGCUAACAAGCACUAUUGCAGAAGAUGUCCAGGCUGUGAGGUGCAUUCCUCUCCUUCUUGGAGGCGCUCAAGUUUGGCUGCUCAAGGGCAGCUCGCUGAUGCGGCUGAGGCACUCAGAUGUGAAGGUUUUGAGGACAACACAGAAAAGUGACAAGAUCUUGUUGAUCGGUGCUCUCAAGCAGCAAUGGGCAUAGAGGUCAGGAGGAUUUUAAACCCACUGGGAUUUAAUGGCAGUAUGCACUUUUCUCUGUGACCAGCUUCCAUCCUACAUAAACCACCUGGAGAAGGCAAGUAGUUCUGACAACAGGGAUGUUAGCUCUGGCAGCCCUGAACUUAUUAAAAAGCUAAAAUGCUAAAAAGAAUAUUACUAUGCUGGUUCAUACUUCCAGUAUGGAUCAGAAGAUACUCAUGGAAAAUGAAUGCAUUGGCUAUCAAUAGCCAAAUUUGCUAAUGAACUUCUAUUAGCAUGGGAGUGAUAGAAAGAAUAAAGCUCCCUUUGGAGCCUUCCGGUUAAAAAUG
ensembl:lncRNA